CCAAUAGCGUAUAUUAAAGUUGUUGCAGUUAAAAAGCUCGUAGUUGAAUUUCGGGGUUAGUAGGUUGGUCAUGCCUCUGGUAUGUACUGGUCUCACUGAUUCCUCCUUCCUGAUGAGCCGUAAUGCCAUUAAUUUGGUGUUGCGGGGAAUUUGGACUGUUACUUUGAAAAAAUUAGAGUGUUUAAAGCAAGCUAACGCUUGAAUACAUUAGCAUGGAAUAAUGAAAUAGGACGUUCGAUCCUAUUUUGUUGGUUUCUAGGAUUGACGUAAUGAUUAAUAGGGAUAGUUGGGAGCAUUAGUAUUCAAUUGUCAGAGGUGAAAUUCUUGGAUUUAUUGAAGACUAACUACUGCGAAAGCAUUUGCCAAGGAUGUUUUCAUUAAUCAAGAACGAAAGUUAGGGGAUCGAAGACGAUCAGAUACCGUCGUAGUCUUAACCAUAAACUAUGCCGACUAGGGAUCGGGUGAUGUUAAUUUUUUAAUGACUCAUUCGGCGCCUUACG
rnacentral:rRNA from 1 species